AACGCACGAGACCUGCGGACCUGCGGAGGGAUCAUUACAUCGUACUGUCGGGGGCCGGUUCGCCGGCCCUGUCUGCACAUUACCCAUGUUUUUUGCGCACCCAUUGUUUCCUCGGCAGGCUUGCCUGCCAGUAGGACCCCACAAACCCUUUGCAAUAGCAGUCAGCGUCAGAAAAACGUAAUAGUUACAACUUUUAGCAACGGAUCUCU
rnacentral:misc_RNA from 1 species